rnacentral:rRNA from 1 species
AGUGAACGCUGGCGGUAGGCCUAACACAUGCAAGUCGAACGGCAGCACAGUAAGAGCUUGCUCUUACGGGUGGCGAGUGGCGGACGGGUGAGGAAUACAUCGGAAUCUACUUUUUCGUGGGGGAUAACGUAGGGAAACUUACGCUAAUACCGCAUACGACCAACGGGUGAAAGCAGGGGAUCUUCGGACCUUGCGCGAUUGAUGGAGCCGAGGUCGGAUUAGCUAGUUGGCGGGGUAAAGGCCCACCAAGGCGACGAUCCGUAGCUGGUUUGAGAGGAUGAUCAGCCACACUGGAACUGAGACACGGUCCAGACUCCUACGGGAGGCAGCAGUGGGGAAUAUUGGACAAAGGGCGCAAGCCUGAUCCAGCCAUACCGCGUGGGUGAAGAAGGCCUUCGGGUUGUAAAGCCCUUUUGUUGGGAAAGAAAAGCAGCAGGUUAAUACCCCGCUGUUCUGACGGUACCCAAAGAAUAAGCACCGGCUAACUUCGUG